AGUGAACGCUGGCGGUAGGCCUAACACAUGCAAGUCGAACGGCAGCACAGUAAGAGCUUGCUCUUACGGGUGGCGAGUGGCGGACGGGUGAGGAAUACAUCGGAAUCUGCUUUUUCGUGGGGGAUAACGUAGGGAAACUUACGCUAAUGCCGCAUACGACCUACGGGUGAAAGCAGGGGAUCUUCGGACCUUGCGCGAUUGAAUGAGCCGAUGUCGGAUUAGCUAGUUGGCGGGGUAAAGGCCCACCAAGGCGACGAUCCGUAGCUGGUCUGAGAGGAUGAUCAGCCACACUGGAACUGAGACACGGUCCACACUCCUACGGGAGGCAGCAGUGGGGAAUAUUGGACAAUGGGCGCAAGCCUGAUCCAGCCAUACCGCGUGGGUGAAGAAGGCCUUCGGGUUGUAAAGCCCUUUUGUUGGGAAAGAAAAGCAGCAGGUUAAUACCCCGCUGUUCUGACGGUACCCAAAGAAUAAGCACCGGCUAACUUCGUG
rnacentral:rRNA from 1 species